rnacentral:lncRNA from 1 species
CCUUCCUCCAGCUGCCACUUAGAAGUGUAAACAGGAGCCAGUAACAGGAGAAACUGGUGUCUGGAAUCUGAGCGAAAGUGGUCCGAAAGUCAAGGACUAGCCCGGCCAAGGAGAGACCACAGAGGCUUGGGACCAUGUACCUGCAUACUAAGGUUUCUGAGGCCCUACUAUGUGUACAGCACAGUGGUGGACUCUUGAGGGACACGAAGAUGACUAAGACACAGUCGCAGCCUUUCAGCAGCUUCUAAUCCAUUAGGGGAUAUGAGGCAAGUGUACCGCGACCACCACACCAGGACUCAGGUGCAGAUUGCACACCUGAAGGGAAGUGAGGUUGGAGCUGCAAGAGGUGUCACUGUCGAUGGAGACUCACACCUUUGCCCAGGCUGGAGUGCAGUGGCGGGAUCUCAGCUCACUUCAAGCUUCACCUCCCG